UCAAUUUGAUGUAGGCAAAAUAAUACUAAUUUGUCUAUUGCCUUAAAUACCUAAUAUAUAUCUAAAUCAAACUAACCAAAUUGGUCACCCAAUACCAAUGCAUAUACGACAUAUCCUUUAUUUUUUUUGAACACAUAUAAUCGAACCAUCCAUUUAAAUAACAAAGCAUAUGUCAUAGCUCAAUACGUAUCUCAAACUUACAUUUAUU
rnacentral:lncRNA from 1 species